GAUGAACGCUGGCGGCGUGCCUAACACAUGCAAGUCGAACGGAGAUUACGGACGGAAGUUUUCGGAUGGAAGCCUGUAAUUCUUAGUGGCGGACGGGUGAGUAACGCGUGGGCAACCUGCCCUAUACAGGGGGAUAGCAGCUGGAAACGGCUGGUAAGACCGCAUAAGUCGGUUAAAUCGCAUGAUUUGAUCGGGAAAUGAGCAAUCAGGUAUAGGAUGGGCCCGCGUCCGAUUAGCCAGUUGGCAGGGUAAAAGCCUACCAAAGCGACGAUCGGUAGCCGGACUGAGAGGUCGGACGGCCACAUUGGGACUGAGACACGGCCCAAACUCCUACGGGAGGCAGCAGUGGGGGAUAUUGCACAAUGGAGGAAACUCUGAUGCAGCGACGCCGCGUGAGUGAAGAAGUAUUUCGGUAUGGAAAGCUCUAUCAGCAGGGAAGAUGAUGACGGUACCUGACGAAGAAGCCCCGGCUAACUACGUG
rnacentral:rRNA from 1 species